UAAAGAGAACCACUUCUUAAUUAGCAUAAGAGAAAAAUUAACAGACAUGCAUUUAAUUAACUUUGAGUGAAAGUGAUACAAGAUCAGAAGAGUACUCUUCAGUCUUCACCAUAACUCUCAUCUCAAUGAACAUAACAUAACAUAACAAAGAAAUAGACUAAGGGGUACCAGAUUAUUUAUUUCUUUCAACAUUACUAAUUUUCUAGUACCCUUUUUUGCACACUGAGAUCAUUAAAGGACCUCAUAUAACAUUAAUUCAUCUCAUCAGCUUGGUUCUCCUCCACAACAACAGCCUUGUUGGGUUCCUCAGUACUGUUGGUUGAUUUCUCAGAAUCCACAUGACCAACCACCACAAUCUUCACGUCAAGCUUCUCAUAACCCAUUGCACCUUAACUUCAAAUUUAUAACACCUGCAUGCCCAAAUCACAAAAUUAAAUUAUUCACUCCAAACAAAUUUGGACAAUUUUUUUUUUUUUUUUUUUUUAUUAGUUGUUGAAAAUGAUGUGUUAUAAAACAUCAAAUAAUUAAAAAUAAAUAGUAGUAACACAAAAAUGAUGUACUACUAAGAUUAGUAAGGGACAUAACCUAAUUUAAGUAUGUAGACUUGUGAAGAAAAAUGGAAUGAUUAAGUGAU
rnacentral:lncRNA from 1 species